AGUGUCCUUGCCAAAGCUGACCCUCU
rnacentral:misc_RNA from 1 species